AGCCGUAACACAGGUGCUGCAUGGCUGUGUCAGCUCGUGUCGUGAGAUGUUGGGUUAAGUCCCGCAACGAGCGCAACCCUUGUCAUUAGUUGCUACAUUCAGUUGGGCACUCUAAUGAGACUGCCGGUGACAAGCCGGAGGAAGGUGGGGAUGACGUCAAGUCCUCAUGGCCCUUAUAGGUGGGGCUACACACGUCAUACAAUGGCUGGUACAAAGGGUUGCCAACCCGCGAGGGGGAGCUAAUCCCAUAAAGCCAGUCGUAGUCCGGAUCGUAGUCUGCAACUCGACUACGUGAAGUCGGAAUCGCUAGUAAUCGUGGAUCAGAAUGUCACGGUGAAUACGUUCCCGGGUCUU
rnacentral:rRNA from 1 species